UUACGGCCGUACCAUGCUGAAUAUACCGGUUCUCGUUAGAUCACCGAAGUUAAGCAUCAUUGGGCGCGGUCAAGUGCAACAACUCGGGUGGGUGACCACCUCGGGAACACUGCGU